AAUUCUCAACUUCAUAGUUUUAUUUAUUGACUAUGAUGUUUGGAUUUGGAAGGUUGCUGGCGAAAGUCGGCUCUUCUUAAAUAUAUUAGCUGCUUUUCUGUGAGUUGGCUCAGAGUGUGAUAAGUAUCUACACUUGGUGGCUGCUUGCCUUGGACGUGGCUUCUAAUUUGUCUUCGGACAACUUCUUAAG
rnacentral:misc_RNA from 1 species